UCAUCCGUGUCAAUGGUCGGAGUUUAUUCAGGCGGCUUCCUGUCAUUUAUGUCUAUUCAAGUUUAAAUUCACAUGAUAAUAUACAAUGUCCAUUCACACCUAGAACCUCCGAAUCGAAGACUUUUAUGGCUUAACUAACUAACCCCCCUCCUUGCCCUUGCUGUCAUCCACCUCCUCUAUCUCUGUUCCCCGCCCACAAGCAGCACAACAGAACCAAGUUGCCUCCUAACAUCCUCCCUAUCAACAUCGUGAGUGUCUUCCACCUCCCCCCACUUAUCCGUCUGCCAUGUGACCUCCAGCGUCGACGCCGCCGCCGCUUGCUCAAUGCCAAACUCCCUGCGCUCCUCCGGUUGCAGGUGGCGGAAUUGCUCACUCCAUUCAAUAACAAACCGUGCAGCAACCAACAAACUUCUGCUCGCCAAAACACCCCUUUCCAACCCAGCUAGCUCGUACGCGGGCAAACCAUAGAUCCAUCCACGUAUAACCUCCUUGGAAAUCGAUGAUCGGCCGAGCAGUUCUAAUCUGGAGAUCUCGCAGCGACUUCUCCGAUUUCUCCUCCCCAUUCAGGUCGUGUACAUCUGGAUCAUGGAUGCUCUUCUCUGGCGCCCAGCUUAGCAGCGUGUCCGUGUCUAGAUAUCGCAUUGUGGCCUUCGUUAUUUGGUUGCGGAUGGUAUUUUGACCGGCGGCAUCUUCCACAACGAUAUCCUGUGCCCUUGCCGUGAGGGAGGUUAAUGGAAUUAAGUGCUGUUUUAGAGCUUGCUGGGCGGAGACUAGCAGGUCCCAUUCGAGCGCGAUGGCGUGUGCUAGAUGUGGUUUUGAAGCGGGGAUCGUGAGGAUUUUCUUUGCUGGAGUUCGGACGGCGCGGGAGUCUAGGAAGAUUUGAUACCCAUCUGUGCAUAAAUCAUAAAUAAUUAACGUAUCAGUAACAUUUUCUACGCUAAUCAACGAUUCCGUUGUUGAGGAAUAAAUAAAAACAAUAAAAUAUAAAAAUAAGCUCAAUUGCACGCGCAUUACGCCCCUGAUUUAUGUUCUAGGAAACAGGAAGGAUGCUUGUCUUUCUUACCAUCCACCUCCUUAACAUGCACAUCCUUCCAAAAUCGUCUUUUCAGCGGUUUCGAAGACGCCGAACCUUGUCCUGAAUCUGUGACAUUGCCCUGCUGUA
rnacentral:sRNA from 2 species